UAAUAGCCAUAAUCUACAAUAUCUAAUUUCUAAGUGUUUUUUAUUGUUGUUGUGUUCUGUAUUUGCAAUCAUAAUGAUGCGACACUAAAUGGGUAUCUAAGUUUUACAACGCAGACGACAUUUCGAAAAACAUUGUCAUUAAAUUCGGUCAAUCACAUGCAUCAUCAUUUGAUUUUGUCACUUGACAUUUUGGCUAAUUCGAGCUAUUACGCGUGUUUUCACGUUACCUCAAUUACAAGAAAAAAUAACCGGUCGUUGGCGUGACUUUGUUUAUAAGCCGGUGCAUCUAACCAAAUAAUCAGAACUGAGCAAAUCUGAGCAAAAUACUAAGGAUUUUAAGGAAAAAAGAUGCCUUUAACAGCGUUUGUCGUCAUGGUUUUUGUGAUGGCUGGACUCUUCAGCAAUGGUACAGCAAGUGGAAUCUCAAGAAAAAGAGAACUUUUGGAUAGACUGUACAAAUAUGGUUCCGACGUCGGCGAUGAAUGUCAGCAGGAAUGUGCCGGCUUUGACGUCACAGACUGUGAUCUGUUUUGCCAGCAGGAGUAUCAGGAAAAUUAUAAGAUUCUAUAUGAAGCCUGUCUUGGAGAGUGUGCGGAGGUUUACAUAUACUGCAAGUAUGACCUGGAAUGUGACAUUGACAAGUGAUGGAAUUCAGAAAAACUUUAUGACGUUUCCUAAACGCAACCUUUUUACGUUCGCCGUGAUAGUGACUUUCUGAAUAGUAAAAGAUGUCAUGUCAAGCUUGAUGUAUAUAAUACAGCAUUUUAGUUUCUAAAAUAGACUCUUAAAAUGGGUUGUUUUGCCGUGACUUUCAGUAAUUAAUGAAAAAUAUGGAUUUUGCCAACCAGACAGCAAUCUGAACUGAUCUUUGAUAAAGUUUAUAUUAAUUUAUCUUUUAUAUAUAAUUUGAUCAUUGUGGACAAACCCAUUUCUGCAUAACUCAUUUCAGCUCAGAGAUGUAAUUGAAUAAAGUGCAAUAUAAAG